UGAAUUUAAUUCAAUUGAAAAAUAAUACAGCAAAUAAAUCAUUAAGUAAAAAUCUGUUACAAUAAACUCUAUGGAAUCGGAAGAAUUAUAAGCAAGAAACUAAUAUAAUGUUUUUACAUUUACAGGAACCAUUUUUACACUCCCCAGGAAUCCAGUAAAAAUACAAACGAUCACUUGAAACUCAAAACAAAAAGAAAAACACUCCCGACUCUCGUAAAAUUUUGCACUCAAGCAAAACCCAAAAUCCACAUCAAAUCAUUUUUUGCAUGCUGUCAGCAACAUAUCUAAAUCGAAAACUCUCGCAAAUGAACUUAAGAUAAAAAAUUUGAGUCACAUUCAACAAAAAAAAAAAAACUAAUUUCUAAUAUCACUCAUUCUCCAUGCGGCGAAAAUUGUUUAUCUAUAUCAAGGAAUAUACAGGAGAAAAGCGGAGAAUUAAGAUAAAACACACACAAAGAUAAAGAGCCCCGUCACACAGCAACAACUACCACCACAAUACAACGGAGAAAAGUAAAUUUUCCCAGCAAAGGACACGCAAGAGGACCAGGAUAAAGGCAUCAUCAAGUCUUACAGGCAAAACUCUUUAACUCAUUGCGCUCGCACAGAGCACAAAAUACUAAAAUGGGGUUAAUCAGCAACAGCAUUUGAAUUACGCACACAUACACCAACACUUACACAUCUCUCACACAAAUACAUCGUCUCACGCAACACGAAAUUUGUUACUCAAAAUGUAAUGCUCCGAUUUUGGUUACUUUUGGAAAGUGAUUUGGCUGUGACAAAUUAUUACCGGCAUUUUUUUAUUGAUCAAAAUAUAAACAAUUUCAUCCAAAUUCAACAACAAUACGAAAAAUUAAUACGGGGACACUCAAAACAUGAGACUUCAAAAUUCAUGAACAAAACGUCCUUUAACUUUGGCACAAACGAUACCUCUCGAAACAGCAACACCAAAAUCAAAAGUAUAAUUAAAAGCAAAAAAUAUUUUUAAAAUUUAAAUAAUUUAAAUAUGUCCCAAUAACUUUAAUAGCUUAAUUGCAAGGCAAAAAUUACCAUUUGGCUGCGAUUUCUAAUUCUCACUAAAACUAUUCAUACCGGCAAUAUUCAAAAUUAAUUCGCAACAAAAUUAAUAGAAAUGCAUUGACUUUUUAUAAUCUCACAAGCAUAUACGAAACUAUUCACAAAAUGGAAGAACUUUUUCAUACACAAAAAAAAAAUAUAUAUAAUUUUAAUGCACGCUCGAAUAGCAAAAUUAAGCCAACGCGGGUAAUAAAUGUGAAUGGCGGCCCAUAAAACACCAUUAAAGUGAUCCUUAAGCUCACUUAAUAAUUACACACAAUAACAGCGGCAUAAAUUAUGCUCUUCAUAAGAACGGAAGUCAUUAUGCGACAAACGCAAGAAACGCAAGAAAAUUUCAAAUUCAUACUUCUCUGGCUUUGGUGUACGACCGACAAAACUCAUUUCAUCUCCCCGGAAAGACGCAAUAAAAAAUACACUUUGGCAAGCAACGCAGCUAGACGAAGACAAGACAAACUCAUCUUACCAAUGAGAAAAGAGAAAACAAAAUAACCAAAAGCAAAUUCCGCAUGACAAACUUUACAAAAUUUUACAUUUAGGUUCGAGAAAUCUGGCAAAGGAUAUCGCAUAGAAAUUUUAAGCAAAAGCGUCAUUGCAAAAUUCGGAAGAGAGAUUGCGCGUUGAUUAGGUGUAAAAUUCGAAAAAUAUCGCAGCAACACAAAACUACUUUACGCAUACCUAAAUUUAUAAAAUACAUAUAUUAUGUAUGUCAAUCGGCAGCCAACCAGCUAAAUACUUCAAUAUUCGAAUUUACUUAAAUCCAUUAAUAUGCAUAUGAAACAAACAUACAAAUGAAACUGCUCUCGGAACUUUACGGUAAUCGUAUCAAAUUGACCAACUUUUUCAAGUCAAGUCAUCAACUGCAGACAUUCUUCAGCCUUAACAUCUGAAAAUUUCAAAAUCAGUAAAUCUCAUUCAAUUAUUUAUUCAAAUGGAAUAGCAAAAAGUCGAUACGGUUGACGGAGCUUACAACACAAAUGAUGAAACGAUGAAAUUCAAAUCUAAAACAACUUUUGAAUUAUUUUCCCCAAAGAAAAAACUAUAACCUCUACCACACUUUGUUGGUCAGUACAACCACCCCAAGUAUCGAAUAUACUAAGUAAAAAUAAUAUUUAGCCUUUAUAAAUCGUCCUUAAAAUGUGGUUGGUUUUCUUGAAGAAAAUUUGAAAUUCUGGAUUAAUAUACGGGUAAAUGUUCUGCUUACAAAUUCACAUACAAGCAAUAAACGUAUGCAAUAUAUAAAUUAACGUUUCGAAAUGAACAAAAAAUAACAAAAACUACAACAUCAAAAACAAAUUAAACUCAAUCACUUUCACGACUUAGUACAACAACAAAUGUGUGGUUGUGUCAAAAGAACCAGCUGAAAUGUAUUUACGGUGAAAUAUCAACAAAAAAACCAGCAAAGAUACAGCAACAUACGCUAAAGAUUCCCAUCAGCUUCAACGUCGGAAUGGCAGUUUUGCACAAUCUUCCAAGCCAAUACACUACGUAUACACAUACGUAUGUCUGUUAUUACGAAUAUCCAAACAUAUGUACAUUUGCUUAAACACAUACAUAUUCAUAUAUAUAUAUAUAUAUAAAACUUCAUCGACAACAUCGAAAUUACUAUUGAGCAACAAACCAAAAACAACAAAACAUUAGAGCUUUGACAACAUCAGCAAUAACAAAAUCAACAAAAACAACAAAAGCAAGAACAAACAUUUAAACUUUGCAUCAUAAAUUUAUGAACCAGCAGCAGUCGCUGUAAUUGCUAUCAAUAAAAUAUAAACCCCAAAAAACGUUCAGACCCAUACUACGUCCAUGCGCAGUUCGAAGCCGACAUCAGUUCAACCUUAUUCACAUAACAGAGGCUUUCUUUCAUACACAACCAUUCCACCCCAAUCAGCAAUCUUGCAGCCCAUUUGGCCAAGCUAAUAUGACACGAUGUCCGGGUUAAAGAGACCGAUGCAAAUGAAAUUACAACAUUUCUAUCGAACAUAACAGACAACAACUAAUGAAAAGUACAACGAGACCGCGGUAAAUACAAAAGAAAACAAAAGAACUAAAAAUAUAAAAUUGAAAGAAUAUCUAAAGUCACUUUUUGAACAAACUUACAUAUAUGCAUACAUUGGUCCGACUUGA